GGUGGUUCUUGGGUGAUGCACCUGGAAUCAGGCUCCCCCUCUCUGGUUCUGGGGUGUGUCACCUGAGAACUGCC
rfam:Myotis lucifugus cont2.49964, whole genome shotgun sequence.